rnacentral:rRNA from 1 species
UACGAAGGGGGCUAGCGUUGCUCGGAAUCACUGGGCGUAAAGCGCACGUAGGCGGAUUGCUAAGUCAGGGGUGAAAUCCUGGAGCUCAACUCCAGAACUGCCUUUGAUACUGGCGACCUUGAGUCCGGGAGAGGUGAGUGGAACUGCGAGUGUAGAGGUGAAAUUCGUAGAUAUUCGCAAGAACACCAGUGGCGAAGGCGGCUCACUGGCCCGAUACUGACGCUGAGGCACGAAAGCGUGGGGAGCAAACAGG